UACGUAGGGUCCGAGCGUUGUCCGGAAUUAUUGGGCGUAAAGAGCUCGUAGGCGGCUUGUCGCGUCGACCGUGAAAACUUGGGGCUCGACCCCAAGCCUGCGGUCGAUACGGGCAGGCUCGAGUUCGGUAGGGGAGACUGGAAUUCCUGGUGUAGCGGUGAAAUGCGCAGAUAUCAGGAGGAACACCGAUGGCGAAGGCAGGUCUCUGGGCCGAUACUGACGCUGAGGAGCGAAAGCGUGGGGAGCGAACAGG
rnacentral:rRNA from 1 species